CCUUUUCAAACACACCGUUUUCAGGCCAGUAAGUGUUUAUUUUGUUUUAUGUACUUAUUUUUUCAUUGAAAAAUAUAAUUUUGUUAGAAAACGUCGAGUUUUCUGAGAAAUGUUUACGAUACGGAUGACAGAGAUUGGCGGCGGAGGAUCAACAGUUAUUUUCUAACUGUUGACUUUAGUAAUUAUUAACUGUUUUAUGUUCUCGCAUUAAAUAUUUUCAAUUAGUUAUUUUUGACAGUAGCCUAUGUAUUUUUAGACAUGAGGGGAACUCGUUUUUCGUCAGUCUGAGGAUAACCAAAACACUCAGGCUAAACUAAUAAACGGUCAUAAAACUAUGGACUGACUUUUUUCCAAACAAUCAUACAUCUGUCCAUUUAUAAUAUUAACCCCUUACACUCAAGGGAUUUUUAAUUAUUUUGUUUAAGUGACAUAUGCUUAAAAUUAAAGCAGCUCUUUUGUUGUGCGUUUACCGUGAAAAGUAGACCUGUCAAUCAAAGACCUAGUUUAGUACAAGCGCGCAUGCCACUAGACAGUCAUACAAAGAAGUGGUUAGCUAUAGUAAAGUGAUAGUAAGUGAAGACACACAGCUAUUCAUAAAAAAUAGAGCCUUAACCUUUGUUAAACAAAAUAGAAUGGUCUUUUCUGUUUUUUUCAGUGAGUGAUUGAUCUAGAAGUCAUCCUACAGUUCUGAAUUGCCAUUUUCUUAACAUACUGUUUUAGUUAAUAAAGAUAAAUUGAGUGCACAUUAAUUCACAAAGGCAUUUGCAAUAUAUUUGACUCCUUUUCAUGUUUCGUCUUUUUCUCAACAGGAGCUACAUACACCCCAAAGGCUCUUUUCAGAGCCCAGGCCCAUUUUGCACAGCGUCUUUGCCUUUGUACAGUAAGUAUGUGUUUUAAUUGACCUCAAAGACAACUGAAACACUAUCUUUAACUAAUCUAGUUAAAAGUUAUUUUGCACAUGAUUUCCAUUACACGAGAGUAGAUGUUAAAACUUCAUGCAGAUUUGUACUCGGCUUUCGCCAAGAUUAGCACAAACUAAGACGUAGCUUUAUAGUAAACUAUGCUUCUCCAUCCAUUUACACUUCUUUCCAUAUGUUGGUGUGACUCCCCUUCUGUCCGGCAUUACGGCUGGAACUACAGUAUGGUCUUCCCAGUGGACCAGCACCACAUCCAUCUGGAUUGAGACGAGUAGGGGACAUCUCUAGGGUCUUCACAUAUUGAUACACACACCAUUGCAACUUAGAUCACCAUCACCACCACCAUCCCCUGCAUCAGACACCCUAAAUCGUGCCCUUCAUCAGACACCCUACAGUAAAUGCACCACAAACAACACAGGCAAAGAAGAAGAAAACGCACGACAAAUCUCCUCCAGCCCAUCCCACAUCAUCGUAUAGUAAAGUGACGCCGCCGGAUAAUAAUGACGGCCUGUGUGCUUUGCAGCCUUUUCCAGGGAUCCUUCAGAGGACUAACAAUGGUGCUGUGUUAAGAAAUCCUACCCAACAAAAUUCCACUGAGGCAGAUGUAGAGAUGACUGCGAGAAACUGGCUGCGGCUGAGGAGGGACAGGAAGCAAGAGGGCGAGCAUCUUAAAGUGAAAUAAUUGAUUGGACUGAUUUUUCCUGUUUACCUAUUUUGGAGGGAAUUUCUUUUUGUUGUUGUUGUACUUUUCUAUGUGUGAUUUGAUGAGUGUUAAAAUAAAUGAUACUGCUUUUGCAAAAACAAAAGUAAAAAAUAAAUGUUCAAGGUCA